UACACUCCUACGGGAGGCAGCAGUGGGGAAUUUUGGACAAUGGGCGAAAGCCUGAUCCAGCAAUGCCGCGUGAGUGAAGAAGGCCUUCGGGUUGUAAAGCUCUUUUGUCAGGGAAGAAACGGUGAGAGCUAAUAUCUUUUGCUAAUGACGGUACCUGAAGAAUAAGCACCGGCUAACUACGUGCCAGCAGCCGCGGUAAUACGUAGGGUGCAAGCGUUAAUCGGAAUUACUGGGCGUAAAGCGUGCGCAGGCGGUUUUGUAAGUCUGAUGUGAAAUCCCCGGGCUCAACCUGGGAAUUGCAUUGGAGACUGCAAGGCUAGAAUCUGGCAGAGGGGGGUAGAAUUCCACGUGUAGCAGUGAAAUGCGUAGAUAUGUGGAGGAACACCGAUGGCGAAGGCAGCCCCCUGGGUCAAGAUUGACGCUCAUGCACGAAAGCGUGGGGAGCAAACAGGAUUAGAUACCCCAGUAGUCCCA
rnacentral:rRNA from 1 species